CGAACGGGUGAGUAACGCGUGAGGAACCUGCCUCAAAGAGGGGGACAACAGUUGGAAACGACUGCUAAUACCGCAUAAGCCCACGGCUCGGCAUCGAGCAGAGGGAAAAGGAGUGAUCCGCUUUGAGAUGGCCUCGCGUCCGAUUAGCUAGUUGGCGAGGUAACGGCCCACCAAGGCGACGAUCGGUAGCCGGACUGAGAGGUUGAACGGCCACAUUGGGACUGAGACACGGCCCAG
rnacentral:rRNA from 1 species